rnacentral:rRNA from 1 species
UAUUGGACAAUGGGCGCAAGCCUGAUCCAGCAAUGCCGCGUGGGUGAAGAAGGCCUUCGGGUUGUAAAGCCCUUUUGUACGGGAAGAAAUCCUGUCGGUUAAUACCCGGCGGGGAUGACGGUACCGUAAGAAUAAGCACCGGCUAACUUCGUGCCAGCAGCCGCGGUAAUACGAAGGGGGCUAGCGUUGUUCGGAAUGACUGGGCGUAAAGGGCGCGUAGGCGGCGAUUUUAGUCAGGCGUGAAAGCCCUGGGCUCAACCUAGGAACUGCGUUUGAUACUGGAUCGCUUGAGUGUGGGAGAGGAUGGUGGAAUUCCCAGUGUAGAGGUGAAAUUCGUAGAUAUUGGGAAGAACACCGGUGGCGAAGGCGGCCAUCUGGACCACUACUGACGCUGAGGCGCGAAAGCGUGGGGAGCAAAC